GAUGAAGAACGCAGCGAAAUGCGAUAAGUAAUGUGAAUUGCAGAAUUCAGUGAAUCAUCGAAUCUUUGAACGCACAUUGCGCCCGCCAGUAUUCUGGCGGGCAUGCCUGUUCGAGCGUCAUUUCAACCAUCAAGCCCCCGGCUUGUGUUGGGGACCUGCGGCUGCCGCAGGCCCUGAAAACCAGUGGCGGGCUCGCUAGUCACUCUGAGCGUAGUAAUACAUCUCGCUCAGGGCGUGCUGCGGGUUCCGGCCGUUAAAAGCCUUAUUUACCCAAGGUUGACCUCGGAUCAGGUAGGAAGACCCGCUGAACUUAAGCAUAUCAAUAAGCGGAGGA
rnacentral:misc_RNA from 1 species